UACGAAGGGGGCUAGCGUUGCUCGGAAUGACUGGGCGUAAAGGGCACGUAGGCGGCUCGGCAAAUCGGUCGUGGAAUCCCGACGCUUACCGUCGGAACGGCGGCCGAAAAUACCGGGCUAGAGGGCGUGAGGGGUCACUGGAACUCCUGGUGAAGCGGUGAAAUGCGUAGAUAUCAGGAGGAACGCCGGAGGCGAAAGCGAGUGACUGGCGCGUUCCUGACGCUGAGGUGCGAAAGCUAGGGGAGCAAACAGG
rnacentral:rRNA from 1 species